CUCCCCCUCUAAAAUCCCAUCACCCCCUCCCUGUGCUUUUUCUUGUUCUUGUUUUUCCCUCUCCGCUCUCCUCUCUAGGUCCAGCAAAUUGGGGAUGAAAUCUUGAAUCUUUGUACUGCGAUUUGAAUGGGAAAGGAGGCCUAUCCCUCCUUGUGCCCUCCUAUGGGUUGAUUUGAUUCAAUUCGUGUACUUGUUCUCUUAAUUUUCGUUGGAAUUUGUUGGUUCCUUUGGGAUUUGUCUCUGUUCCUGUGCAGAUCGGGGAACGCAGGGGAAGCUUCGCCCGGGCAACUCGUGUGCGGAGCUGCGCGCGCGCCAGGCUCGCGGCGCAGACCACGCGACCCCCGCUGCAGGGCCAGCGCUGCUCUGCGGGAGGCGGCCGUGGGCAGGUGCGCUCGCUGCCUGCCGGCGCUGCAUGCCUGGCUGAGAACCGAGCAGGAGCUCGCACGGGCCCCUCCCUGCGGUACGCGCUCUUGUCAGAGCUCAAGUGCGGUGGUGAUCCAGCGCCAGGGGCGGAGGCUCAAGCGGAGCACGCAGCGCCAGUUCGCGCAGAGGCAGGACGGCAGGAGCACUACGCAAGGGAAUUCCGAUCCGGCCAGCAGCAAGGCCAGCUCGCUGGCAGCUCUAGGCGCGCGCCGGGGCUGAGGCACAGGCAGGGCAUCCACGCGCGGGCCAAGACUCGGCGCAUCAGGCCAGCAAGGGGCGACGCCCACCAGCAUGCACUGCAGGAGCGGCACAAGCAAAAGAAGCAACGCCUUUGUGAUUUUGAUUGGUGAGCACGCGUAUGUACAUGCUUGAAUUUUGAUUGGUUUGCAGGUUUCUGGAAUGUGUGUGAGUGCGUGGGAAAUCCAAGAGUGGACUGAUGGUCAUCUGUUGAAGCUUCGACAACGCCCAUCAAGUGCUUGCGGUCAACUAGGAUCGCCAUGGGAUCCAAAUGCGAUUGUAUCUGUAGACCAAUACAACUCCAGCAUUGUUGGGCAAAAGGACAGUUCAGAAACAGAUGUUCAAUUGUCUCAUCUUCUUGACAGGGGCAGAAAACGCAGGAUCCCCAAAGCCAUUGGAAGGAAUGAUGAAUCGCUGUGUGGCCUUUCAUGUAUUUGUAAGCUUUUUGUGGGUUUUAAUGAGGACUCCCCCAAAUGUAAGUCCAAGAAUCUUUUUCAUUAUGAAGGUUACAACUGUCCAUGUUAUCCAAGAGUGGUUCAAGUAGAUUGAAAGCUUCAGCCGAGAUGGGCAGGUGCAGAAUUUGCCUUGGUUAUCCAAGGAGCAAAGAAGAAAUAUUUUCCUGCAAUUGUGUAAGGAACAUGGCUCCACUGGUCUAUUGUUUGUGAUUUUGGUGAUUGUGUGACAAUAUAAUCAAUGAGACUAACAAGUUUGUGAGAUUACA